AAACCAAGAUAGAAAUUGUGCCUCAUAAUUGAUAUUUUGAGGAUUACCUGAAGUAAUAAAUUUAUUAUGUGCUAAGAAAUACGUGCCUGUCCCUAGGUAGCAAACUGCAACUUAACUUUGUAUGAAAACAGUCUACAACUGUAACAUAUUCUGUAACAAAUAACUGAGACUCAGUUAAUCAUAGCAGCUGGGCUUUAACCAGUCCUGGGCUGACAACUGAUCAGACCAUGUAUCUGUAUAGGGCAAGUGCUUCAUCACACCAUGCCUGAAUCAGUUGGAGUCUCGCACUGUCUCCCAGGCUGGAGUGCAGUGGCGCGAUCUCGUCUCACUGCAAGCUCCGCCUCCCGGGUUCACGCCAUUCUCCUGCCUCAGCCUCCUGAAUAGCUGAGAUUACAGGCGGCCGGCUAAUUUUUUGUACUUUUAGUAGAGACGGGGUUUCACCGUGUUAGCCAGGAUGGUCUCGAUCUCCUUGUGAUCCGCCCGCCUCGGCCUCCUAAAGUGCUGGGAUUACAGGCAUGAACCACCACCGCGCCCGGCCCAUCCAUGUAAUUUUUCUAUAUCAAAGUGCUAUAACCUGUUAAUGAGACUUACGUCUCUUUAUUGACAUUACAUCUUCAAUGUGGGCCAAGGUUUAAACAAUGAUAGCAGCUUUUUAUUUUUGUGCCUUUUUGUUUUCUGCAUAUAUUGACUCAAUAUUUUUAAAAUCCUGAGUCUAAAUCAGGAAGCAUUGCGUUAAACAGAAUGUUUAUGAUUAGAGGUACCUGACAACUUUUAUUUGAAUUCCAAGAAUAAUGUUGAUCAAGUCACUUAAAUGCAUUUAACUGCCUUUACUGUAAAAUAACAGUAAUG